rnacentral:rRNA from 1 species
UACGGAGGGUGCGAGCGUUGUCCGGAAUCACUGGGAUUAAAGGGUGCGUAGGAGGGCAGGUAAGUCAGUGGUGAAAUCUUCGAGCUUAACUCGGAAACUGCCGUUGAUACUAUCUGUCUUGAAUACCGUGGAGGUGAGCGGAAUAUGUCAUGUAGCGGUGAAAUGCUUAGAUAUGACAUAGAACACCAAUUGCGAAGGCAGCUCGCUACACGAAUAUUGACUCUGAGGCACGAAAGCGUGGGGAUCAAACAGG